rfam:Legionella waltersii strain ATCC 51914 Lwal_ctg031, whole genome shotgun sequence.
GGUGGUAGACCCACCGAGAUCGAUCACCAGCGAUAGGUCUCAAACCACCUCAUGCGGCUGUUGUUAAGAGCAAUGGUCGUGAGUGAUGAGGAAAGUCAGGCAAUGACCUGGCGAGG